rnacentral:piRNA from 1 species
UAGGAUUAAUCGAGUCAUUAUUAAGGUCCC